GACGAACGCUGGCGGCGUGCUUAACACAUGCAAGUCGAGCGGUAAGGCCCUUUCGGGGGUACACGAGCGGCGAACGGGUGAGUAACACGUGGGUGACCUGCCUUUAGCUCUGGGAUAAGCCUGGGAAACUGGGUCUAAUACCGGAUAUGACUCCAUGACGCAUGUUGUGGGGUGGAAAGCCUUGUGCGGCUAGGGGAUGGGCCCGCGGCCUAUCAGCUUGUUGGUGGGGUGAUGGCCUACCAAGGCGACGAUCCGUAGCUGGUCUGAGAGGAUGAUCAGCCACACUGGAACUGAGACACGGUCCAGACUCCUACGGGAGGCAGCAGUGGGGAAUAUUGGACAAUGGGCGCAAGCCUGAUCCAGCCAUGCCGCGUGUGUGAAGAAGG
rnacentral:rRNA from 1 species